rnacentral:rRNA from 1 species
UACGGAGGGGGCUAGCGUUGCUCGGAAUCACUGGGCGUAAAGGGUGCGUAGGCGGGUCUUUUAAGUCAGGGGUGAAAUCCUGGAGCUCAACUCCAGAACUGCCUUUGAUACUGAAGAUCUUGAGUUCGGGAGAGGUGAGUGGAACUGCGAGUGUAGAGGUGAAAUUCGUAGAUAUUCGCAAGAACACCAGUGGCGAAGGCGGCUCACUGGCCCGAUACUGACGCUGAGGCACGAAAGCGUGGGGAGCAAACAGG